rnacentral:misc_RNA from 1 species
AUUGCUUUUGAGUUUUAUCUUGCACACGUGCACACAUAUAAGCAAUCAAAAUCAGAUUUGUCGUAUCUAUGACAUUAUUGGCGCUACCCUGGGAGUGGCUUAAUGAAUGACACGAUUACCCUUUUUUUCCUUGACUUGAAGAAAGAAAAAAGUAAUCAUGCACUGUCUCUCUUGCUCUCUCAAACCCACACACACGCGCGUGCGCAACCAGGUGCACGCACGGAGCUAAUAAAGAGAACAUUUGUCUAAUCUGGACCCUGUCUGGCUUUAUCAUAGGGCUGACUUCAUG